UGCAGUCGAGCGGUAGAGAGAAGCUUGCUUCUCUUGAGAGCGGCGGACGGGUGAGUAAUGCCUAGGAAUCUGCCUAGUGGUGGGGGAUAACGUUCGGAAACGGACGCUAAUACCGCAUACGUCCUACGGGAGAAAGCGGGGGACCUUCGGGCCUCGCGCCAUUAGAUGAGCCUAGGUCGGAUUAGCUAGUUGGUGAGGUAAUGGCUCACCAAGGCUACGAUCCGUAACUGGUCUGAGAGGAUGAUCAGUCACACUGGAACUGAGACACGGUCCAGACUCCUACGGGAGGCAGCAGUGGGGAAUAUUGGACAAUGGGCGAAAGCCUGAUCCAGCCAUGCCGCGUGUGUGAAGAAGGUCUUCGGAUUGUAAAGCACUUUAAGUUGGGAGGAAGGGUAGUAACUUAAUACGUUGCUACUUUGACGUUACCGACAGAAUAAGCACCGGCUAACUUCGUGCCAGCAGCCGCGGUAAUACGAAGGGUGCAAGCGUUAAUCGGAAUUACUGGGCGUAAAGCGCGCGUAGGUGGUUCAGUAAGUUGGAAGUGAAAUCCCCGGGCUCAACCUGGGAACUGCUUUCAAAACUGCUGAGCUAGAGUACGGUAGAGGGUAGUGGAAUUUCCUGUGUAGCGGUGAAAUGCGUAGAUAUAGGAAGGAACACCAGUGGCGAAGGCGACUACCUGGACUGAUACUGACACUGAGGUGCGAAAGCGU
rnacentral:rRNA from 1 species